rnacentral:rRNA from 1 species
GUUUGAUCCUGGCUCAGGACGAACGCUAGCGGCGGGCUUAAUACAUGCAAGUCGAGGGGGCGUUGCGGAGCAAUCCUCAAUGUCACCGGCGGACGGGUGCGUAACACGUAUGUAACCUACCUUUUACUAGAGGAUAUACCAUAGAAAUGUGGGGCAAUACUCUAUAUGCAGACGCUUCGGCAUCGGAGAGUUUGGAAAGGCAACGGUAAGAGAUGGACAUGCGUCUGAUUAGCUAGUUGGUGAGGUAACGGCUCACCAAGGCGACGAUCAGUAACUGGUCUGAGAGGAUGAUCAGUCACACUGGCACUGAGACACGGGCCAGACUCCUACGGGAGGCAGCAGUAAGGAAUAUUGGUCAAUGGACGGAAGUCUGAACCAGCCACGCCGCGUGGAGGAAGAAGGUUCUCUGGAUUGUAAACUCCUUUUGCCGAGGGCUAAGAAACAGCUAUACGCUGUCGUGAAAGUACUCGGUGAAUAAGCCACGGCUAACUACGUGCCAGCAGCCGCGGUAAUACGUAGGUGGCAAGCGUUGUCCGGAUUUACUGGGUUUAAAGGGUGCGUAGGCGGUUUUAUAAGUCAGUCGUUAAAGGCAGCAGCUUAACUGUUGUAAGGCGAUUGAUACUGUAGGACUUGAAUUAUUUCGAGGUUGUCGGAAUACGUAGUGUAGCGGUGAAAUGCUCAGAUAUUACGUAGAACGCCGAUUGCGAAGGCAGAUAACUAGGAAUAGAUUGACGCUGAGGCACGAAAGUGUGGGGAGCGAACAGGAUUAGAUACCCUGGUAGUCCACACUGUAAACGAUGGAUACUAGCUGUUGGGCGCAAGUUCAGUGGCUAAGCGAAAGUAAUAAGUAUCCCACCUGGGGAGUACGUUCGCAAGAAUGAAACUCAAAGGAAUUGACG